rnacentral:rRNA from 1 species
GUGAAUGCGCAUCUACUAUUACAAGUCGAGCGGUAAGGCCCUUCGGGGUACACGAGCGGCGAACGGGUGAGUAACACGUGAGCAACCUGCCCCCGACUCCGGGAUAAGCGGUGGAAACGCCGUCUAAUACCGGAUACGACCCGUGGUCUCCUGGCCGCGGGUGGAAAGUUUUGUCGGUCGGGGAUGGGCUCGCGGCCUAUCAGCUUGUUGGUGGGGUAACGGCCUACCAAGGCGAUUACGGGUAGCCGGCCUGAGAGGGCGACCGGCCACACUGGGACUGAGACACGGCCCAGACUCCUGCGGGAGGCAGCAGUGGGGAAUAUUGCGCAAUGGGCGAAAGCCUGACGCAGCGACGCCGCGUGGGGGAUGACGGCCUUCGGGUUGUAAACCUCUUUUACCACCAACGCAGGCUCCCGGUUCUCCGGGGGUUGACGGUAGGUGGGGAAUAAGGACCGGCUAACUACGUGCCAGCAGCCGCGGUAAUACGUAGGGUCCGAGCGUUGUCCGGAAUUAUUGGGCGUAAAGAGCUCGUAGGCGGCGUGUCGCGUCUGCUGUGAAAGACCGGGGCUUAACUCCGGUUCUGCAGUGGAUACGGGCACGCUAGAGGUAGGUAGGGGAGACUGGAAUUCCUGGUGUAGCGGUGAAAUGCGCAGAUAUCAGGAGGAACACCGGUGGCGAAGGCGGGUCUCUGGGCCUUACCUGACGCUGAGGAGCGAAAGCAUGGGGAGCGAACAGGAUUAGAUACCCUGGUAGUCCAUGCCGUAAACGUUGGGCGCUAGGUGUGGGGACUUUCCACGGUUUCCGCGCCGUAGCUAACGCAUUAAGCGCCCCGCCUGGGGAGUACGGCCGCAAGGCUAAAACUCAAAGGAAUUGACGGGGGCCCGCACAAGCGGCGGAGCAUGUUGCUUAAUUCGACGCAACGCGAAGAACCUUACCAAGGUUUGACAUCACCCGUGGACCUGCAGAGAUGUGGGGUCAUUUAGUUGGCGGGUGACAGGUG